UUACCAUUAAAGCUGCCGGCGCGCCUAACACAUGCAAGUCGAACGAGAAAGGGUAGCAAUACCCUAGUAAAGUGGCGCACGGGUGAGUAACACGUGACUAACCUACCCUGGAGUGGGGGAUAACUGAGGGAAACCUUAGCUAAUACCGCAUAACACCUACGGGUCAAAGGAGCAAUUCGCUUCAGGAGGGGGUCGCGGCCGAUUAGUUAGUUGGCGGGGUAAUGGCCCACCAAGACUGUGAUCGGUAUCCGGCCUGAGAGGGCGCACGGACACACUGGAACUGAAACACGGUCCAGACUCCUACGGGAGGCAGCAGUGGGGAAUUUUGCGCAAUGGGGGAAACCCUGACGCAGCAACGCCGCGUGGAGGAUGAAGUACUUCGGUACGUAAACUCCUUUCGAUCGGGACGAUAAUGACGGUACCGAGAGAAGAAGCCCCGGCUAACUUCGUGCCAGCAGCCGCGGUAAUACGAGGGGGGCGAGCGUUGUUCGGAAUUAUUGGGCGUAAAGGGUGCGUAGGCGGUUUGGUAAGUCUGAUGUGAAAUCUAUGGGCUCAACUCAUAGUCUGCAUCGGAAAACUGCCGGGCUUGAAGUGUGGGAGAGGUGAGUGGAAUUUUCCGGUGUAACCGGUGAAAUGCGUAAAAUAUCGGGAAGGGAACACCUGUGGGCGAAAGCGGCUUCACC
rnacentral:rRNA from 1 species